rnacentral:rRNA from 1 species
AGUAACGGCGAGUGAAGCGGGAAAAGCUCAAAUUUAAAAUCUGGUGGCCUUUGGCCAUCCGAGUUGUAAUUUAGAGAAGCGUCUUCCGCGCUGGACCGUGCACAAGUCUCCUGGAAUGGAGCGUCAUAGAGGGUGAGAAUCCCGUCUUUGGCACGGACUCCCGGUGCUUUGCGAUGCGCUCUCGACGAGUCGAGUUGUUUGGG